UCUGAACGGGGAUAAUCGGGAAGGCGGUGGAAUUCCGUCACGUGCCCAACGCUGUAAGGGGGAUUGAUCCUGCAAGUUAGCCACUGGUGAUUUACACAUCCGGGAAGGGGCAGGAUCAAAGUGAACCCAAGUCAGAAGACCGGCCUGAAGAGCU
rnacentral:ncRNA from 1 species